UUUGAUUUUCCAAUACAUUGUUUCUUUUUUGUUCUUUUUCUGUCUAACUUACUUUUUCUUCUUUUUGCUCAUACAAGUCUCUUUUUUAUUUUCUCUUCUUUUGAGAUCUCUCUCAAACCUCUCUUUACUUUUUUUUUUCUUUUUCACUUAUCAGUUUACACCUGAAGACAUCAUCUUCUUUAUCAACUCACUCAUCAUCCAUGGAGUAAAUUUUAUUUUACAAACCUUUAUUUAUUUUGCAUGUUUUACUAACUAACUCAGUUUUUGUUUUUAUGUUUUUCAGUUUCUAUUCAUCACUCUUCAGUGAAUAUUUAUCUUCUCUCAUUCAUCUUUCCGAUCUGAAAUGACUUAUGGCGGAAACACUAGAUCUCAAAUCAAAACCACCGAAUCCACCGGAUUUGAAAUCAAAAUCUCCAUAUUUAAAAUCAAAAUGGUUUGUUGAUUAUAUAUUUUGGGCUUUGAUUUUCGGACAGGUUUUGUUCUAUUUAUGGAGGAUAUUGUUUAUCUUCUUCGUCUAACUCUGAAAGGUUUUCAACAGAUCUGGCGAGUCGAAAGAAAAAAAAGAUCUUAAAAAUAUGAAGUUUCAAAAAAGUUUGAUUUUAUUAUGCUUAUGGAGGAUAUUCAUCUUCUUCAUCCAUCUCUAAGAAAAUUACAUCUAUUUCAGCCUGUAUGCAGUUUGAAACCGGUCAAAAGAAUUGAUAGCUUCUCGCUUUUUUGAAAAUUCUGCAAGUAAGGGUUAACUCAUCAUUAAUUGUGACCUGCUACUUUUAUCAGCUAUGACAAUUGGUUGUUACUUUUUGCAUGAUUUGACUUCUGUUUUGCGACAAUUUAGGUCUGUUUUGCUACAGGACAUCAUGUAAAACAAUAAUAAAUAAGUUACUUUUAUAUUGCUUAGAGUCUUCCUUUUAAUAUGAGUAUUUAGUUCAACUAUUUCUGGGAGGUAGAACAUGUAAAAGUCUUUUUUAAUAGGGUCCUGCUAACCAGUGCCCGGGGCACUGGAUAAGGAGUAUUAAAUGAGGUUUAAUUAAAUUGUUAUUGUUUUGAAAUAAAUGCAAUAAACGUUUAUUUGUGACGAAAAUUAGAAUGCAAUAAAUUUAUUGAUAAAAAUAAUCUGCGGCAUUUUAAAGACGCUAACAAAUUAAGUUACUUUGUGUCUACAAAUUAAGUACAAUACAUUUGUAUAGAAUGAGUAUACACAUGAACCGAUGAAUAUGAUUCCAUCAUAUUCUUGCCAUAACAAAAAUGUUCUUUUAUUUGUCAUUAAAAGAAAAUUAGUAGGUGUAAUACUAUUAUAUAUAUAUAUUUUUUUCUAAUUUUUAACAUUAUUUGCCAUUUUUAAUUAUAGUUCAUUCACAAGAAUAAAAUAGAUUAAAAAUAUUAUCUUUGUAAAUUUUAGUUUUAUUAUUCGUUCUAUUAAGCUAUUGCUUCUCGAUUCUCCAAACUUCGAGGUAGAGUUUGUUAAGCGUCAAGCGAAUAUGGUUGCUCAUUGUUUAACAAAGGCGGCCAAUUCUUGGUCUCGACGUAGUUUUGUUAAUUAUUUACCUCAUUGUAUUGCAACAAUUUUAUUGAAUGAAAGAAGUUAAGUUUGCUUUGGUCAAAAAAAAAAAUUAUCUUUGUAAAUUUUCCUUUUUUACCAUAAGAAUAAAUAUUUAUAUAUGAUGUGCAAAAUCUCUCUUUAAUUUUUUUCAUUAAUAUUGGUUCAUAAUCAUAAUAUAAUUUCUAUAAAUAACUUAACAAAACUAAAAAAACUUUUCUAUCAUAUU